rnacentral:lncRNA from 1 species
UCCCUCACCUGGCACAUACUAUUGUUGUUCUUCAACCAAGCUUUAUAAACUACUUCUGUAUUCAUGAGAAAUAAAUGUUGUAUUUUACAGAUUAUGCCAUCCUUAAUAAGACUGAUUUCAGUGGGGUGGCAGACUCUACAUUAUUUUGAUUAGCUGCAAGCACAUUUCCUAAUCUUCUCCAGAAGAAGACUAUACAGCAAAAUGGACCUCAAGUCUCCAAAGAAAAUGUUCUUUUGUCCAGAGAAUUAGCAUAUAACAGUUUCAAAGAAUAAAAAUCCUGUAUGCAUGUAGGGGCUGGCUGAAUGAGUUUUACAUACCUGCAAAAUGUUUUCUUGCCUUGUUCUGAUGACAUCAAGCUAUGGGUCCAGCCUGAUGAGAAUUUUCCUUGAACUGCUCUGCUAUCUGCCAAGAAUCCCUAGUGUGGGUCCUCUUCUGCUUCUCCAUCAGUACUUUGGAAGCUGUGUGUAUGUACUGUUAAGAUUUUUGCAGACUGAGGAAUAUACACAAGAGAAGAAAAACAGUUUAAAAUCUUAGAAGACAUGACUGAAAUAUCACGAGAUUUUAAAGGACAGGACUCGGGCAAAAAGUACAGG